GCCCCUGUAGCGCAAUGGAUAGCGCAUUGGACUCCUAAUUCAAAGAUCAUGGGUUCUAAUCCCACCUGGGAUG